rnacentral:rRNA from 1 species
GAUUUUUCAAUGGCCGCGGUAAUUUGACCGUGCAAAGGUAGCAUAAUCACUUGUCUCUUAAAUGGAGGCUAGAAUGAAUGGUUGGACGAGAUAUAUACUUUCUUUGUAGUAUUAAUUUGAAUUUGAUUUUUGAGUUAAAAAGCUUAAAUUUUUUUAUGGGACGAGAAGACCCUGUAGAAUUUUAUAUUGAAUCAUUUUAAUUGUUUUUGGUUUAUUAUUGACUUUUUUUAUUGUUUUAGUAUUUUGUUGGGGCGACAGGAAGAUUUUUUUAACUCUUCUUAUUUUUUUUCAUUGAUUUAUGUUUUAUUUUGAUCCUUUAUUAAAGAUUAAAAGAUUAAAUUACCUCAGGGAUAACAGCGUAAUCCUUUUGGAGAGUUCUUAUCGAUAAAAGGGUUUGCGACCUCGAU